ACCCCUCCUUUUCCCAGGGGAGGAGCAGCUGGUGCUGGGCCAGGCCCUGCAGAGGGUCCGGAUGGAGGUGACUGAGAACGGCACCGAGGUGGCCUCGGCCACAGCUGCCAUCGUUUAUUCCCGAAUGGCCCCCCUGGAAAUCGUCCUGGAUCGGCCCUUCCUCUUCCUCAUCCGACAUGGCCCCACGGGUACCGUCCUCUUCGUGGGGCAGGUGAUGGAGCCCUGAGCACCCCACGGGAGGGGGGGGUCACCCCACAUUGGGGUCAC